UACGUAGGUCCCGAGCGUUGUCCGGAUUUAUUGGGCGUAAAGCGAGCGCAGGUGGUUUAUUAAGUCUGGUGUAAAAGGCAGUGGCUCAACCAUUGUAUGCAUUGGAAACUGGUAGACUUGAGUGCAGGAGAGGAGAGUGGAAUUCCAUGUGUAGCGGUGAAAUGCAUAGAUAUCACGCAGAACUCCGAUUGCGAAGGCAGCGCACCGGCGCCCUACUGACGCUCAGGCACGAAAGCGUGGGUAUCGAACAGG
rnacentral:rRNA from 1 species